rnacentral:tRNA from 1 species
UUGGGGAUAUAGCUCAAUGGGUAGAGUGCUUGCCUUGCAUGCACAAGGCUCUAGGUUCAGUCCCCAGCACCAAA